rnacentral:rRNA from 1 species
AGAGCGAACGCUGGCGGCAGGCCUAACACAUGCAAGUCGAACGGAUCCUUCGGGAUUAGUGGCGGACGGGUGAGUAACACGUGGGAACGUGCCUUUUGGUUCGGAAUAGCUCCUGGAAACGGGUGGUAAUGCCGAAUGUGCCCUUCGGGGGAAAGAUUUAUCGCCAUUAGAGCGGCCCGCGUCUGAUUAGCUAGUUGGUGAGGUAAAGGCUCACCAAGGCGACGAUCAGUAGCUGGUCUGAGAGGAUGACCAGCCACAUUGGGACUGAGACACGGCCCAGACUCCUACGGGAGGCAGCAGUGGGGAAUAUUGGACAAUGGGGGCAACCCUGAUCCAGCCAUGCCGCGUGAGUGAAGAAGGCCUUCGGGUGUAAAGCUCGUUUGGCGGGACGAUGAUGACGGUACCCGCAGAAUAAGCCCCGGCUAACGUUCGUGCCAGCAGCCCG